UCAAUGUUCCUGUCAGUUAAACACAUCAAACCGUUAUCAUGACAUUAUAAACCACACGGAUUUUGUGUUACUUUGUCAAAUCAGAAAAUGAAUAGAUAUGUAUUUUUUGCAUCAAUUGUGAUAACGUUGUGUGGCUUCGGUGAAAGUAUUCUCGAGUUAGGCAACAAUUCAACUAAUCCAAAUGGAACAGAUUUUAACAGUUAUACAGAAUUGUUUAGUAUGAUCAGUGACUCUCUAUGUUCAGCUUGUGGCAAAGGGAACAAAAAGUGCCCAAAGUUUUGUAUAAAUACACUGGCUCCUUAAUCAAUUGUCGAUGCUGCUUCAAUAUAUGAAAUAAACGAAAUUGUAGAACGUUUUAUUUACAUGUACAAUUGUUUAUGGAUGUGUAUAUUACUUAAAAUAUGAAAUUCGCAUGCCUCUACAUAUAAACUGUUUAUAUUCACAAUUUUGAAUAUAUAUAAUUA